AUUGUGCUGUUUCCCUAAACAUGAUUCAAUCAUGAAACAUCCUUGUAAAUAGUCUUGUUGUUAGAUGGACAUGUUUCAAUCAUGACCACAUUACAUGAAAUAGUUGCAAUGUAUGGAAAAGCUCCUCCUACUUUUUUGAUACUAAAUUACCCCUCCCAAUCCUUUGCCCGGGAAAAGCAAUUAUACUGCAGAAGAAGAAGGCCCGAUUUUAUCAGUGCUGCCUGGAACUUUAAGGAGGCAAGUGGCAGUGGUGCCGGGUAGAAGUAUCAAACUGAGAAUAAUGGCUUCACCCUGCAUACUCAAAGUCAUAUUGGUGGACAACACCUGCCAGAGGCUAACACUACCAUGUGGACUUCCUCAAUCUGUGAGUGAGCUUAUGGAAGAAGUACAGCGCCAGUGUGGACUGACCUACACCUUCAACCUACAGUUUAUGGAUCCACUCUUUAAUGAUGACUUCAUGAAUCUGACCUCAGUAUCUGAAAUACAAAACAGAGGCACUAUUAAGGUGGUAAAUCUGUCAGAUCCAACCAUUUUACAGUCACCUGUUUCAUCUGCUGGUUGUCGUUCACCGUCAACUUCAAGUUUUUCUGGUGUGAGCUGUCCUGAUACAGACAUUCUUUCUUCAACUGAGUCUCAGUCUGAGCCAUCCACUUCAAGGUCAUUGUGGCCAGACAAGUUUUGUGUUCCUCAGUUUUCCUUUGACUCUGAAUUAAAACUUGACCGAGCCAAUGCAGAAUAUAAAGAAAAUGGGACACUUCUGACUCCAGAUAACAAACUUUUGUCAAACAUUCUCGAUGGACUUGUGCAAGAAAUUGUUCAUUAUGGACUUUAUAUAACCGACAACCAGUUCAACAGUGUGGGUGAGGCGCUCAUACUAAAGCAUCCCUGUC